GGCCUUAUCGCCGAAACCCUAGCUAUAUAAGAUUGAGUGGAGCGCUCGACGAACAACACAGCGGAGGAGAAUCUGACUUUCGGCGACUUGACGAUGAGGGCGAAGUGGAAGAAGAAGCGCAUGAGGAGACUGAAGAGGAAGCGCAGGAAGAUGAGACAGCGAUCCAAGUAGUCUCUGUGUCUCCAUGCCUAUCCAUAAAUCUCUGAACCUUUAUGUUUUGUGGUUUUUACGUUUGAGUUGGAACAAUCGUUUGUAGAACAUGUUUCGAUCACUCCCUUUUAUUUAUCUACACGGAGCAGAGAUUUAUCUUAUUUUUUUUUGGAUCUGUUUAUUUGAGGGCUUGUGAGUGCAAGUAACGGUUUUCUAGAGGCUUGA